AGGUCACAAGAUUGCGCCAACCCUUACAUGGUCCUUAAAAAAAAAACCUUCUGACACUGCAGUAGUGAAAAUGAAGCGCACGAUGGGCGGAAGCUGUGAGUCCGGCAAAGUUUUAAAAUGAUGACGUAUUUUAUUAACUCUAACGGCACUGGCGGGUGACUGAAAAUACUAGUGCUGUGUAUGCGGGAUAGACAUUAUUUUCCUGCCCUACAUGAGGGGCUCGUGCGCGGAACGACAUGGGCAGCCCCGGCGGAAACUGCAGGCACAAGCCGGGACGCCGCGGGUUUAAAACAUGCGCGUGAGAGGAAGACAAACAUAAAGAUGAAGUGCUUAAUUCAAGGUCACACAAUGUCGGGGAUGGACCUCCAGAUUUCCUUACUGACCUGCAUUAUCUUGUGGAUACCUGAGUGAAUUCCACACCACCCAUUUUAUAGAUGAAACCACUGAGACAUGGAGCAAUUGACUGAGUAGUCACUGCCCCACCCCUGCCUGGAGCCUCACACAUGACUCGCCUCCUCUCAGUGACCACAGGUUGGUUGAGGGGUUUAACAAGGCUAAGAAGGUGAGACGUGGUCUUGUAACACAGUGGUUAAGAAUGUGACUUUGGAGCCAGCCUGCUAGGGGCUGAAUUCUGACUCAGCCAUUUACUAACUGUGUGACCUUAGGUAAGUCAUUUACCUUCUUUGUCCCUCAGUUUCAUCUCGGUUAAGUAGGGAUAAUGAUAGCACCUAUUUUAUAGGGUUAUUGUGAGGAAUAAAUCCAAGUAAAAUGCUUAGAAUAGUAACUGAAACAUAGCACUCAUUAGGAAUGCUUUAAUUUUCAUUUAUUUGAGUAUUAAAGGUUGAAUUUUCAGAGGUAUUUUGGACCUUUGUAUUUUUUCUUUAAAUCACUUAUUCAUGACUUUUGAACUUUUUUUUUUCUUUUAGAGACAGGGUCUUGGUUUGUUGUCUAGGCUGGAAUGCAGUGGUGCAAUCAUAGCUCACUGUAGCCUUGAACUCUUGGGCUCAAGAGAUCCUCCUGCCUCAGCCUCGUGAGUAGCUGGGCCUACAGGCGCCUGCUACCACACCUGGCUAAUUUUUUAUUUUUUGUAGAGAUGGGUUCUUGCAGCCCAGACUGGUCUUGAGCUUUGGCCUGAAGUGCUCCUCCUGCCUUGGCCUCUCAAAGCAUUGGGGUUACAGGUGUGAAGCACUGCACCUUGCCUACACAUUUUUUCCAAUAAUUUUUUUUAUUAAUUUGUAAGAGUUAACAUGUCGACUAUCAUAUAUAACAUAGAAUUGUUCCCAUUUUGUCAUUUCCUUUCAACUUUGUCUAUGUAGCUUUUUUUCUGUGUGCAAAUUUUACAUUUUUAGGUAGUCAGAAAAUCUCUUCCCUUGUAAUUUUUUCUGCUACUAGACCAAUGUUUAGAAAAAAGCGUGCUUCCCCACCUCAAAAUUAUAAAAAUAGUUACUUGUUCUUUUUGAGUACUGUGUGUGUUUAAAUCUUUAAUCUUUAAAUUUAAAUCUUUGAUCCAUCUGGUAUUUAUUUUGAUAUGAAGAGAGUGGUUGGGAUCUGGCUGUAUUUCUUUUUUCUUUUUUUUUCUUUUUUCUUUUUUUGACGAAGUCUCACUGUUGCUCAGGCUGGAGUGCAAUGGCAUGAUCUCGGCUCAUCACAACCUCUGCUUCCUGGGUUCAAGCGAUUCUCCUGCCUCAGCCUCCCGAGUACCUGGGACUACAGGCACUCGCCACCAUGCCCGGCUGAUUUUUGUAUUUUUAAUAGAGAUGGUUUCACUAUGUUGGCCAGGCUGGUCUCGAACUCCUGACCUUGUGAUCUGCCCACCUCAGCCUCGAAAAGUGCUGGGAUUACAGGCGUGAGCCACUGCGCCCAGCCUUGUAUUUUUUUUCAGUUUGGGUAGCUGUCCCUAAUUCAUUUGUUAAAGGAGAAGCAAGAGCAAGAACCUUUAAUCUGUUCUCCUCUUCCCUAAUUUGAAAGUAGCUUGUUAUUUUGAAUAUCACUUUCUCUGAAAUAGCACAUCUCCAUCUCAGAGAAUGGAUUUAAUGUUUGGAUACAGCCAAAAGUCAUUUCAUUACCAAACCAUGGGGUGAAUAUACCAUGUAAAGCAGUUUGGGAUCAGAACUCACAGUCUGAAUUGUAAGUGAUGAGACUGCUGUCUCUCUGCUACAGCUUCUUGGCUGGCUCUGAAGGCUCUUUGAAGGCAGAUCCUAACAAGGGGACUGCUUUGAAGGGCCAUUGUUCAUUUGGAAUGAUAAAGUCUAUGUUGUUCAAAAAACAAAUGCUUGUAGCAGGUAUUUUUUCACUCCAGACUGAGAAUAUUGGUGGGAUAUUGAUAAGGGGUACUGAAUGGUAAUAAACAUGUGCUCUAGCUCUGUGCUAGUCAGCUUAUUUCAGAACUCUAGUUUGAUUCAGUUUCUUGCCUCUGACUCAAAAUGGAGGGAGAGUGAUUUUUACAUAAGAGAACACACCCACAUAUCCUUUUGGCAGCAGCUACCUGCCAGAGAUGUUGAAGAAGAGUAGCCAACCUUUACACAGCAGAUAUUGUGUGCCAGUCAUAGUCCUAAGUAUAAUACCUUACAUGUAUAAACUUCUUAUAAGGUUGGUGCUCUGUACCGAAUUGAAUAGUAUCCCCCAAAAUUCAUGUUGUCCCAGAACCUAUGAAAGUGAUCUUACUUGAGGGAGGGGGGAGGGGGGAGGGAUAGCAUUAGGAGAUAUACCUAAUGCUAAAUGACGAGUUAAUGGGUGUAGCACACCAGCAUGGCACAUGUAUACAUAUGUAACUAACCUGCACAUUGUGCACAUGUACCCUAAAACUUAAAGUAUAAUAAUAAUAAAAUAAAAAAAAAAAAGAAAGUGAUCUUACUUGGAAAUAAGGUCUUUGCACAUAUGAUCAAGUUGAGAUGAAGUUGUACUGGAAAGUCUGUCUAGUGACUGGUGUUGUCAUAAGAAGAGAGGGACACAGAGGGAAGAUGGCCACAUGAAGAUGGAGGCAGAGAUUGCAGUUAUGCUGCUGCAAACUAAGGAAUGGCUCUGGCCCUCCAAGGAUUGCUGAUAACCACCAGAAACUAGAAGAGACAAGGAAGGAUUCUUCCCUAGAGCCUUCAGAGGGAGCAUGGCCCUACUGACACCUGGAUUUCAAACUUGUAGCUUCCUAAACUGCAAGAGAAUAAAUUUCUGUUGUUUUAAGCCA
rnacentral:lncRNA from 1 species